GGGAUGAGGACCCAUCAAUUUGCACAGUAUCUCCGAUGGAUAUGUGACGACCGUUUUGUUUGCUGAUC
rnacentral:snoRNA from 1 species